rnacentral:rRNA from 1 species
CCUACGGGAGGCUGCAGUGAGGAAUAUUGGUCAAUGGACGAGAGUCUGAACCAGCCAAGUAGCGUGAAGGAUGACUGCCCUAUGGGUUGUAAACUUCUUUUAUAUGGGAAUAAAAUGUUCCACGUGUGGGAUUUUGUAUGUACCAUAUGAAUAAGGAUCGGCUAACUCCGUGCCAGCAGCCGCGGUAAUACGGAGGAUCCGAGCGUUAUCCGGAUUUAUUGGGUGUAAAGGGAGCGUAGGUGGAUUGUUAAGUCAGUUGUGAAAGUUUGCGGCUCAACCGUAAAAUUGCAGUUGAAACUGGCAGUCUUGAGUACAGUAGAGGUGGGCGGAAUUCGUGGUUUAGCGGUGAAAUGCUUAGAUAUCACGAAGAACUCCGAUUGCGAAGGCAGUUCACUGGACUGCAACUGACACUGAGGCUCGAAAGUGUGGGUAUCAAACAGGAUUAGAUACCCGGGUAGUC